rnacentral:lncRNA from 1 species
GUUAAACAAGUGCUUGAAGGCAGUAUGCUUGGUAAAAGUCAUCGCCAUUCUCUAAUCUUGAGUACCCAGGGACACGAUACACUGCGGAAGGCUGCAGGGACCUCUGCCCAGGAAAGCCAGGAUCCAGUAUCUGCCGGAGGAGCCCCACCUUCUGCUACUAUUAUGUUCUUCAGAUGAGUAGAAGAGAGUGGGGAGGGAGAGAGCAGGAAGAAGAAAGGAAGAAUAAUGUCUUGAAAUUGGUAAAAGCGUUUUUGUUUGCACAUCCUGCAUUAUUAAUAUUUCUUGUUUAGCAUAAUUAGCUACCCUCUCAAGCUUACACACAACCUGCAGUGUUUAUGCCUUCCGAUGAUAGCUAAACCAUCAGCAAAGCAGUCCAGGUCCCUGAAGGCUGAAUGCAGGUGGUUCUGAAGGCUGCAGGAUGCAUUCAAAAAGCAGGAUACAUAAGCUUUAAUUGUUGCUAAAAAUACAUUCACUAGAAGAAUCGGACUCCUUCUAUCUGUCUGGAGUGGAUAAAAGCCAACUAUGGAUUCAGUAGUCUAAAGAAAGUCGCAGAAGAACAAAGAAAAGAUGAUGCAUAUCAUAAAUUAUUACUCACCCCAUGUUCCCACCCUCGAGAGACCUCCAAACAAUCACCAUGCCACAGUGAACAUUCAGUAACAAAAAUUCAGCCAGGGUUUUCACCAGCAUGAAUGGCAGUGAUUCCAAUCAGGAAAACAGAAAGAGGAGAGUUCAGAGCCACCUAGAAUGGCUCUUGCAAGAUACGAAAUCAAGGCAGCAGCAACAGGGCUGAACAUUCCUCAUCCCUAACUCUCCCUUCACCAGUAGGAAACCCAGGAUAACUGCAAUCACCGCAGGCCCAUCUGGCCUGAAGUUCUACUACUAGUAGCCCUCCAUGGGACCUUCUUAAGGAAGCAUGUCAACUCAGGUAAGGGAUGUAAGGGGAUGGAUGACCCUUUGAGGCCAAAGUUGGAGCAAAAAACACCAGAUGUUCCUGUGCACUGCUCCUAAGAGAUGGUUCUGAAGACCAGUUCGGGGAGAGGUCAAAAUACUGGACAGAAUCUCAGCAACAUGGAACCUCAAACUAAGUGACAGUCACAGACAACUCUUCCCCAAAGAAAAUAAGCACAGACAUGGUUUGUGGUAAGCAGAAUUAUAAAGAUGAAUUCCCAUCUCCCUGUCAGAUUACCAGUAUGGUAAAUUACCAGAUUACCUGGUUAUUUAUUCAAACACUAAUACAGUUAUUGCCUUGAUGGAAACAUACAGAUACAAUUAAAAUCCCAAGUACCAAAUAAAUUGACCUUAAGACAAAGACUAAGUAAAUCACAUGAGCCCUCUACAAGCAGAGAGUUUUUCUCCAGCUGGUAGCAGAAGCCAGAGAUUUGAAGCAUAGGAAGUAUUCAACACAUUAUUGCUGGCCUGAAAAUGGAAGGGGCCACAUAACGAGGGAAACCGGUGGCCUCUAGAAGCAGGGAGCAGUCCCCUGCUGACAGACAGCAAGCCAAGACCUCAGUUCUACAAUUGCAAGACACUCAAUUCUGCUAAGGACAAAAAUGAGCUUGGAAGUGAACUCUGAGCUUCAGGUGAGAACACGGCCAAACAACACCUUGAUUUCAGCUUAAACAAAGAAUGCAGCCACUCCAUGCCAGAAUUCUGACCUGUAGAAAUUUGAGCUAAUAAAUAGAUGUUUUAAUAGCUUCA